rnacentral:ncRNA from 1 species
CUCUUAUCAAGAGAGGUGGAGGGAAGUGCCCUAUGAAGCCCGGCAACCAUCAACUUACUUAGAGUUGAAGUGGUGCCAAUUCACUCAAAGCGUAUGCUUUGAAAGAUGAGAG